UACGUAGGGUGCAAGCGUUGUCCGGAAUUAUUGGGCGUAAAGAGCUCGUAGGCGGUCUGUCACGUCGGCUGUGAAAACCCGAGGCUCAACCUCGGGCCUGCAGUCGAUACGGGCAAACUAGAGUACUGCAGGGGAGACUGGAAUUCCUGGUGUAGCGGUGAAAUGCGCAGAUAUCAGGAGGAACACCGGUGGCGAAGGCGGGUCUCUGGGCAGUAACUGACGCUGAGGAGCGAAAGCAUGGGGAGCGAACGGG
rnacentral:rRNA from 1 species